AUUGAACGCUGGCGGCAGGCUUAACACAUGCAAGUCGAGCGGAGAUGAGGUGCUUGCACCUUAUCUUAGCGGCGGACGGGUGAGUAAUGCUUAGGAAUCUGCCUAUUAGUGGGGGACAACAUUCCGAAAGGAAUGCUAAUACCGCAUACGUCCUACGGGAGAAAGCAGGGGACCUUCGGACCUUGCGCUAAUAGAUGAGCCUAAGUCGGAUUAGCUAGUUGGUGGGGUAAAGGCCUACCAAGGCGACGAUCUGUAGCGGGUCUGAGAGGAUGGUCCGCCACACUGGGACUGAGAGACGGCCCAGACUCCUACGGGAGGUAGCAGUGGGGAAUAUUGGACAAUGGGGGGAACCCUGAUCCAGCCAUGCCGCGUGUGUGAAGAAGGCCUUAUGGUUGUAAAGCACUUUAAGCGAGGAGGAGGCUACUGAGACUAAUACUCUUGGAUAGUGGACGUUACUCGCAGAAUAAGCACCGGCUAACUCUGUGCCAGCCGCCGCGGUAA
rnacentral:rRNA from 1 species